AUGGCAGCACGUUGCCGGAGCACGCGGACCCUCUCCCUUUCCCUCCUAUUCCUAGGCGUGGCCUCCCUCGUCAACGCCGGCGGCAGCGAUGUCAAGGCGGCAUGCACUGACACGCCGUACCCAGAGUACUGCGCCACCGUCCUCUCAGCAUGCCCGAAGAGUAAAUCCACGGACGCUCUCGCGCUGGCCGAGAUCGCGGUCCGCGCUGCCGCUAAUACCAGCGCCGCGGCGGCCACCCUAGCACGCUUCGAGAAAAAAGGCAUCAAGGAUGGCGCAUGGUGGUGCACGGACCAUUGCGCGGCAGACAUCGAGGACGCCGCCACGCACCUCAGUCACCACAACAUCAGGCUCGCCGACGUGUGCUGCUUCAUCACGAGGACCGAGAGUGACUCGGUCGUGUGGAACUGCAACGAGUGCCGGCGGGAUGGGGCGUCCAAGAAGAACGACCUGCUCUCGAAAGACUGCGACUUGGAGAAGAUCAUGGGCGUGUUGUCUGUGCUCAUCAAGCGUGUACGCAUCACCAAGAGCAUUACUGUGCCGCCCGUGAAGGCGGUGGCACCGUCCGUGUAUUAG
rnacentral:rRNA from 1 species